UACAGAGGGUGCAAGCGUUAUCCGGAAUUACUGGGCGUAAAGCGCGCGUAGGCGGUUUGUUAAGUCGGAUGUGAAAGCCCCGGGCUCAACCUGGGAACUGCAUCGAAAACUGGCAAGCUAGAGUACGGUAGAGGGUGGUGGAAUUUCCUGUGUAGCGGUGAAAUGCGUAGAUAUAGGAAGGAAUACCAGUGGCGAAGGCGACCACCUGGACUGAUACUGACACUGAGGUGCGAAAGCUUGGGUAGCAAACAGG
rnacentral:misc_RNA from 1 species